rnacentral:rRNA from 1 species
UACGAAGGGGGCUAGCGUUGCUCGGAAUCACUGGGCGUAAAGCGCACGUAGGCGGCUUUCUAAGUCAGGGGUGAAAUCCUGGAGCUCAACUCCAGAAUUGCCUUCGAUACUGGUUGGCUUGAGACCGGAAGAGGACAGCGGAACUGCGAGUGUAGAGGUGAAAUUCGUAGAUAUUCGCAAGAACACCAGUGGCGAAGGCGGCUGUCUGGUCCGGUUCUGACGCUGAGGCGCGAAAGCGUGGGGAGCAAACAGG